rnacentral:lncRNA from 1 species
AAUUUUUAAAGAUUUAAAAAUUUUUAAUUAAAUUUUUUUUUUAGGGCUGGACUCUUGGUCUGUCGUCCAGGAUAGAGGGCAGGGAUGCCAUCACUACUCACUAUAACCUCAAACUCCUGGGCUCAAGCAAUCCUCCCACCUCAGCCUCCGGAGUAGCCGGGACUACAGGCAUGCCCCACCACAUUCGGCUAAUUUUUAAAAUUUUUUUGUAGAGACAGGGUCUCACUAUAUUGUCCAGGCUGCUCUCAAAAUCCUGGCCUAAAGUGAUCCUCCUGCCUCAGCCUCCUGAGUAGCUGGGUUAGAUCCUGGCAAAUGAAAGGGCCCCCAGCUUUGACCUACCUUUGGGGAAGAUCUCACUGCACACAGGUUCUCACACAGCACACCCCGUCACACACAUGAACUCACACCGAGAACAUAUGAACACUACACACAUGUUCUCACACAGCACACCCUGUCACACAUAUGAACUCACACUGAGAACACGGGCAUCACACAUAGGGACUCACACAUAGAGGGCAUAUGAACACUACACACAUGUUCUCACACAGCACACACCCCGUCACACCCAUGAACUCACACCGAGAACACAACAUCACACACAGGGACUCACGCACAGAGGACAUGUGAACACUACACACACGUUCUCACACAGCACACACCCCGUCACACCCACACCCCCACAUGCGUAGACACACACAUCCUUACUCUGCGUGCAUCCCUGGCCUGGUGGACGGAAGAUCGAGCGCUCCGGGUGGACUUACGGCCACAGGACGGGGGCAGAGUCGGCAGGGAGGCCCCUCCGAGGCCCAGUGGGCCCCGCGCUGGCCCCGGCCGCAGACGCCCACCUGCUGCUGUGCUGGCUGCGGCGUGUGCCCCGGGCUCUGCGGCUGACCUGGCCUCCACGUCUCACCCAUGAAGCAGGCAUGAAAGGCUGGCCAGGUUGGCUAAAUGGGACCACAGCAGAAGCAUGAGCCCCAGAAUGUGCACGAAGGAAGAGAGAGCCGGGGGAGGUGGCGGGCUGGGUGUGCAGAGUGGGCCUGAGCUCCGGCCUCCUCCCUGGACGCCCUCCCGUGGCCGCAGCCAUCCCUGCACCCACUGGUGUGGCCUGACCCCUCACCCUGAGCCCACCCUUCGCGGCCACUAGGGAACCUCAGGAGAGGCCGCUGUGGUGGGGUGGGCGGAUCCCCCCGGAGCAGGCCCAGGCCCCUGCUCCUGAGCUCUCCGGCAGCGCCGCCUGCUGGCCACAGAGAGCCCACGUGCGCCAGCCGCCAGGCCUGGGCAUCUCCCCUCCUGCAGCGCCGCCUGCUGGCCACAGAGAACCCACGUGCGCCGGCCGCCAGGCCUGGGCAUCUCCUCUCCUGCAGCGCCGCCUGCUGGCCACAGAGAACCCGCGUGCGCCGGCCGCCAGGCCUGGGCAUCUCCUCUCCUGCAGCGCCGCCUGCUGGCCACAGAGAACCCGCGUGCGCCGGCCGCCAGGCCUGGGCAUCUCCUCUCCUGCAGCGCCGCCUGCUGGCCACAGAGAACCCGCGUGCGCCGGCCGCCAGGCCUGGGCAUCUCCUCUCCUGCAGCGCCGCCUGCUGGCCACAGAGAACCCGCGUGCGCCGGCCGCCAGGCCUGGGCAUCUCCUCUCCUGCAGCGCCGCCUGCUGGCCACAGAGAACCCGCGUGCGCCGGCCGCCAGGCCUGGGCAUCUCCUCUCCUGCAGCGCCGCCUGCUGGCCACAGAGAACCCGCGUGCGCCGGCCGCCUGGCCUGGGCAUCUCCUCUCCUGCAGCGCCGCCUGCUGGCCACAGAGAACCCGCGUGCGCCGGCCGCCAGGCCUGGGCAUCUCCCCGGGCCCUAGUUCCCCCCCUCACCUAAGGGGAGGGACUCCCGUCUUUCCAUCCACCCCCUCCUUGCCUCUGCAGAGCUCCAGGGAAGGCUGGCACCCGCUCACUGCAUUUAGACUCCAUCAGGUUCAGACAGUGGGUCAGGGUACAAGGCUUCAGCGGCCAGGGAUGUGGCCUCUAAUUUGUAGAGAGAAAGAAGGGCAGAGGCAAAGGUUUGGGCCCAGGGACUGGGCUCCGUUUCCAGAAUCACUCUUGGAGCUGGUGAGCAGAGGGCUGGACACUGCCCUCCAUGACCAGCACUGCCCUCCACCCUAGCUCACUCCCCUAGCCGGCCCAGGGGUUCAGGCUUUCCUUUCAUAAAGUGGGGUCCAGGAAAGGCAAAACCUCCUCCCCUGGGCCACACGAACCGUGGUGCACAGGCUCCCACUAGGUGGGCCAGUCAGCUCAUCCCAUGGACACACCAGGGGCAUCGAGAAAGGAAUAGCGACCUGAACCCCAUACCCGAAGGGUGGCCCUCAGGACCCCCAAGGCAGGGAACAGGCUGCAGAGGGUUUGGGGGAGCAUCUUGGUGCAUAGAAAACAAACACUCUGGGAAGCCGCUGUGAGUGUGUGUGGCCCUCAGGCCUGUUCUGUCCUGGGUGCGCUGCGUUCCCCAGGCGGCACCAUCUCUCUGCCUCUGUACCCUUGAAUUCCCUCUGCCUGCACCCGGUCCCCACCCACCUCCUGCCCAGCCCCACAAGCCCUUCCAGACCACUGCUGGGGCAUUCCUGGGCCCCCUCGGUUCUUGGUGACUACCAUGCAGUUCUCUAUGGAAACUGACUCUCACUGAAAACAAGUGUAACCGUCUACCUAAGAGACUCACACAGAGUUCUCAGCCAGGUCUCCAGGACAAUCAGACGCAACUUGUCAUUCUCACUCAUCCCAUCACCCGACUAGCUUCUCAGCCCAGCCCCGGGGGAGGUUUUCCCCUUACUUGAAAUGCCUCUUGGAUUUGAAAAAUCCCAGCAUUCACCCCUGGUGCCGACACUUGCCUCUGUAACCUUCUGCCUGCUGCUUUGCUCUCAUCCAGACCGGUUGGCACUUGGCCCCCUCUGGCCAGCUGGUUCCCCAGAGACAACCAUCUUGCCCACCUGUGGAAGGCCCCAUGGCCUGCCUCACCCCUCACUCCCAUUUCACAGCUCUCGUCGUGCUCUACAAGAAAAAUCUGCUUUAUAGAUGAGGAAAGGCCCUUGGGGCAGACAAGACAGUCCCUG